GCAUCCGUAGCUCAGCUGGAUAGAGUACUCGGCCACGAACCGAGCGGUCGGAGGUUCGAAUCCUCCCGGAUGCACCA
rnacentral:tRNA from 2 species